rnacentral:rRNA from 1 species
UACGGGGGGGGCAAGCGUUGUUCGGAAUUACUGGGCGUAAAGGGCGCGUAGGCGGCUCGCUAAGUCGGAUGUGAAAACUCUGGGCUCAACCCAGAGCCUGCAUUCGAAACUGACGAGCUAGAGUUCUGGAGGGGAAAGCGGAAUUCCUGGUGUAGCGGUGAAAUGCGCAGAUAUCAGGAGGAACACCGAUGGCGAAGGCAGGUCUCUGGGCCACUACUGACGCUGAGAAGCGAAAGCAUGGGGAGCGAACAGG